AAGAGACAGCAGUCGCCGCGGGAAUACGUAGGUGGCGAGCGUUGUCCGGAAUUAUUGGGCGUAAAGGGCUCGCAGGCGGUUUCUUAAGUCAGAUGUGAAAGCCCCCGGCUCAACCGGGGAGGGUCAUUGGAAACUGGGAAACUUGAGUGCAGAAGAGGAGAGUGGAAUUCCACGUGUAGCGGUGAAAUGCGUAGAGAUGUGGAGGAACACCAGUGGCGAAGGCGACUCUCUGGUCUGUAACUGACGCUGAGGAACGAAAGCGUGGGGAGCGAACAGGAUUAGAUACCCCCGUAGUCCCUGUCUCUUAUAC
rnacentral:rRNA from 1 species